UGUCGGACUAGAGUGCGGAAGAGGCGAGUGGAAUUCCUGGUGUAGCGGUGAAAUGCGCAGAUAUCAGGAGGAACACCAAUUGCGAAGGCAGCUCGCUGGGACGUUACUGACGCUGAGACGCGAAACGGUGGGGAGCAAACAGGAUUAGAUACCCUGGUAGUCCACGCUGUAAACGAUGGGCACUACCUGUGGGGGGUGUCGACUCCCUCCGUGCCGAAGCUAACGCAUUAAGUGCCCCGCCUGGGGAGUACGGCCGCAAGGCUUUAACUCAAAGGAAUUGACGGGGGCCCGCACAAGCAGCGGAGCAUGUGGUAAUUCGACGCAACGCGAAGAACCUUACCUGGGCUUGACGUGUGCCUGACCGCCCUGGAAACAGGGCUUCCCUUCGGGGCAGGUUCACAGGUGGUGCAUGGCUGUCGUCAGCUCGUGUCGUGAGAUGUUGGGUUAAGUCCCGCAACGAGCGCAACCCCCGUCGCAUGUUGCCAGCA
rnacentral:rRNA from 1 species